rnacentral:lncRNA from 1 species
GACCGACUAUUCGUGUAAUUGAGGUAGUAACCCACAUAACUUGGGUCAUAUCUAUGCCGAUAUUGACGCACACAUUAAGCAAAUUGCCCGGCAUUCACAAACUUAGCCAUCCCACAUUUGCCUUGAAUAGUGGUCGGUAUCGCAUGAUCGUGCUUCAGGCACCGGAUGGCACACAAAUUAGGGCUACCAGGCACGUUAUCAAGGCUCAAC